rnacentral:tRNA from 1 species
GCGAGGUGGGCGAGGAACUGGCGCAGGUCGCGGCCAUAGGCCUCGACGGUGUUGGCCGAGAAGCGCCGCUCGCGCUCCAGCUCCGCGAGCCACGCG